AUUGAACGCUGGCGGUAGGCCUAACACAUGCAAGUCGAACGGCAGCACAGUAAGAGCUUGCUCUUACGGGUGGCGAGUGGCGGACGGGUGCGGAAUACAUCGGAAUCUACUUUUUCGUGGGGGAUAACGUAGGGAAACUUACGCUAAUACCGCAUACGACCUACGGGUGAAAGCAGGGGAUCUUCGGACCUUGCGCGAUUGAAUGAGCCGAUGUCGGAUUAGCUAGUUGGCGGGGUAAAGGCCCACCAAGGCGACGAUCCGUAGCUGGUCUGAGAGGAUGAUCAGCCACACUGGAACUGAGACACGGUCCAGACUCCUACGGGAGGCAGCAGUGGGGAAUAUUGGACAAUGGGCGCAAGCCUGAUCCAGCCAUACCGCGUGGGUGAAGAAGGCCUUCGGGUUGUAAAGCCCUUUUGUUGGGAAAGAAAAGCAGCAGGUUAAUACCCCGCUGUUCUGACGGUACCCAAAGAAUAAGCACCGGCUAACUUCGUG
rnacentral:rRNA from 1 species